GAAGGAAAGAAAGCUAGAGGGAGCCGGAGCGGAGCUGCACUUCACGCCGAAGUUUCCCCUUCGAAUCGUCUGGAGUUGCCACUUUGGAGGCAGAUUCUCCAGCCUUGGUCAGGCCUUCAGAUGACUGCAGCCCUGGCUGAUGACUUGACUGCCACCUCAUGAGAGACCUUGAGCCAGAACCACCCAGCCAAGCCACUCCUGGAUUCCUGAUCCACAGAAACUAGCUUCUCUGAGUCCUGGGCCAAGUGUGUGUGCAGGAGACACACUGCAGGAGAUAGUGCCAGUUUCUCCUGCAGGUCACCCGCAGCAUCAAGGUUGGACAUGGUAAGACACAGAAGAGGGUUCCAGUUUGUCCUCAAUGGUCCCAUUGGUCCUCAUGAGUUCUGGUUUGUCCCUACUCUCCUAUACAUCUAGCUUUCCCUCUUAACAGCUGAUCUGACAAACCUAUAGUAACUUCAGGCUCAGCACUAGACACAGAACCAAUAGUCUUCAUAGAUUGCAUCACCAGCUCUCACAUUUGUGUAAGGUCUAGCCCUUAGGAUAAUAAAUCUCUUAUUCUGUAUAAUGUGUGGCCAUUUUGCUACUUCGAUAAAACCAUGGCUGCUGUAAGUAUCUGUGUACAACACUGUCUUGUUGCCUUUGCAUUGUGAACGGUAUGUUAAGCCUCAUGGUAUCCACUGUCUUAGGUAGAAGGAGAAGACUGGUGAUUGGUGGUAGAAGAAAAGGAAGAGAUGCUUAGAAAGGUAAAAAGCUUAUGUAGGAAUCUCUCAGGAAAUCCUCAAUGCUAAAAAUGUCUGUGCUAGUUAUCAUUUGUUGCUUCUCAUCUCCAAAUCCAGCUUUCUUUGUCCUGUUUUGUGGUCUUGGAGCUGGACCAUGUAAACAUUUCUCCUUUGUCAAUAGAGGGUGCUGGAGGGACACUGUAGGAAGAAGGGAACUCAGCUUGACUCUCGUGGCUUGACUGCUGUGCUCUCCCCUGCUAGCUCUUGUGGUGGGUAGGCGCCAGCAGCAUAGGACAUCUAGUGACUCACCCUAUUAAGUUUUAGUGGCAGUAUUUGGGGGACUUUUCAGUGGGUUUGCCACCACUCCAGCAGGCAGCUUCCCAGUGAAUCCCUCUGGCACCUCGGAGGACACCUCAGUGAUACCUGAUGAGUCUUGCAGAUGCCCCAAUGGGUGGUAUACCAGGAGGCUGGACGAAGGUUCAGAAGUUUGGUUUCCUGCUUGCCAGCCCUGGCCUGCAACAUCUCAGGGAAAUUCUCUGCAAUUCAGUGGGCUGCAGACUUUCUUUGAAAGGGGUCUGAAUCAGCCCUGGGUGAGGGGAGGGCCCUCUUCCAAAUUUGUUCCUUCUUUGGUACUCUUUCCUUGGGAACAGCCUUAGGGGUAGUGGCUGUUCUUCGUAUGUGCUAUUCCUGUGUUCAGUACGGUUUUCUUUACCCUUAGUAGGUAAUCCUCUGCUACUAGUUAAUAAUCAUUUAUAUUAAACUUUCCCUGUGUGAAUUACUGUGUGCUUUCUGUCUCCUAACUAGACACUGAUAAAAUGCCUUUUGCUCUUAGUAGCUAUUUAAAAGAAAAAUAAUAAAACUUAAUUUUAUUAGUUCAAGAUUUUUCCUUAGAAGGGACAUAAAUUACUUUUAAUGUGAUUAUAUAAAUAAAGGGAUUGCCCAAAUGUGCAGUUUCAAGAGACUAUUUGCUUUCUUUGGCCACCUGGGAAGGGUAUUUCUCAAAUCGGGCUCUACAGACCCUUCUGAGUAGACCCUGAGUCACUAUGGCUAUGAAACAAACUACCGCAAACACAAUGGUUAAAACAACCAUCAUGUAUCACUCUCACGUAUCUGACAGAAGGACUCUAGAGUUGCAUGACAAAUGGUGAAGACACAGGACAGGAUGAAGAACUGGGGCCCAAAAUGUACUCUACCACAGGGUCCAAGGGCAUUAAAAAUGGGUCUGUGAAUUCAAAUGGUAUUUUUAAAGUUUUACUUUUCCAUUUGGUGAGGAAAUAAAUAGUGUAAUCAUAGUCAUAGGACUUCAGUGCCUGCAUUUGCAUUCAUGGUUCAGUUCUUGCCAAGGGAUCGCCUUAAGUGAGUGUGCAGAGGAAAUGUUAGGCAGUGUUCCCUCAUUUCUAAAGCUUAACCAGUAAAGUAAAAAGAGGGUAUGUAUAUGACUGUGGGGUAUGUGAGAGCUCUCUGUGCCUUGACUCCCCUGAAGAGCCAACUUAGAGAACCUGGCUGUGGGAACCCCAAGGGCUGAGCUGGCCUCCAAUCAGGAGAGACAGGAGAACAGAAAUCAGUCCAGGAGGUUACUGGAGAAGCUGGGAACCACAGAGUCAUACAGAGAUAGGAAACAGCCAACUCCCACAGUUUUCAAUAGCAGAUUUGCUGCAGAAAACUGGUCGGCCAUGAACCUGGAACCCUCCAGAGAAGGUACCAUCAAAUUUUGAUCUCUGUUUAACACUGAUUUCUGCUAUAACCCAUCCUGUUAUGGCAAUGUCUGUCUUGAGAAAAGGCUGAGCUGAUAUAGUACAGAGGAGGGUUCAACUUGCUGCAAAUUAUUUGAAGCAGGCAUAGCCUAAGUCCAGGCCUAUGCCAGAGAAAGAUGACAUAUUCACUGAUAAUCGCCUAAUCUCCUGAGCACAUAGGAGGGCAAGAUUAGGAUAGUUAGAGUUCUACUCAAACUGUGCAAGAAUGUCCUUGAAGUGUGGCCAAGUGACAAACAGUGCAAUAACUAUGAAUGUUUUUACAGAUUUUAUGAGACAUUAUCAUACCCUAGCAGUGACUGUGCAUGUUUAUAUGUUUUUAAUAAAUUUUUUAUUUUAUAAUAGUUUUAGGCUAAGGCGGGUGGAUCACUUGAGGUCAGGAGUUCGAGACCAGCCUGGCCAACAUGGUGAAAACCCUGUCUCUACUAAAAAAAAAAAAUACAAAAAUUAGCCAGGUGUGGCAGGUACCUGUAAUCCCAGCUACUUGAGAGGCUGAGACAGGAGAAUUGCUUGAACCUGGAAGGCGGAGGUUGCAGUGAGCCAAGACUGCGCAAUUGCACUCCAGCCUGGGCAACAAGAGCGAAACUCCAUCUCAAAAAAAAAAACAAAUAGUUUUAGACAAAAUUUGCAAAGACAGGAGAGAGAGUAAUCAUAUACCCCACAAAUAGUUUUUCCUACUUAUUAACAUCUUACAUUAUUUUGGUAUACUAGUCAUAAUAAACUGAUGUUGACACACUAUUAUUAACUAAAGUCCAUAUUUUAUCUAGGCUUCCUUAGUGUGUGUGUGUGUGUGUGUGUGUGUGUGUGCGUGCAUGUGUGUUUUACUGUAAUGUCCUUUUUUUCUGAUCCAGGAUCCCAUUGAGGAUAUGCAUUCCAUUUAGUUGUCGUAUUUUCUUAGGCUUCUCUUAGCUGGACAGUUUCUCUUUAUUAGACUUUCCUUGUUUUUGAUAACCUUGACAGUUUUGAGGAGUUUUGGUUACGUAUUUUGUAGACUGUCAUUUAAUUGGGAUUUUUCUGAUGAUUGUAUUUUAAUUAUUGUUGCCAUAUUUACAAUUGCUAGUUCCUUCAAACAUCCCACCAAAAGUGUCAGAAUUAGAAAGUGUGCCUCAAACACAGAGUUUGAAAACCACUGG